UACGGAGGAUGCAAGCGUUAUCCGGAAUGAUUGGGCGUAAAGCGUCCGCAGGUGGCAAUGUAAGUCUGCUGUCAAAGCGUCUGGCUCAACCAGAUAAAGGCAGUGGAAACUACAUAGCUAGAGUAAGGUAGGGGUAGAGGGAAUUCCUGGUGUAGCGGUGAAAUGCGUAGAGAUCAGGAAGAACACCGGUAGCGAAAGCGCUCUGCUGGACCUUAACUGACACUGAGGGACGAAAGCUAGGGGAGCGAAUGGG
rnacentral:rRNA from 1 species